rnacentral:lncRNA from 1 species
ACCAUCUAAGCCACCGGAACCAUCUCUAAUCUUUGCCCUACCAAAAAUAUAUUAGAAAGUGGCAGUUUCUCCUCACUUCCAAUGUCUAGAACCUAAAAUCUUUGGGUUAACACAUAAACAAAAUAAGUCAAAACAGAAACUUUGUAACAAUGAUAAUGAAAAGAUAAUGUUUCUAAUCCCACACCUAUUUUACAAUCGGUAUAGAUGACGGAGGAGCGACAAUCCUAAAACUUCCCAAACC